UCCCUCUCAGGGUCGCACCUGGAGAGUUUCCAGUACUCUACCAGUCUUGACUAUGGGAGGGAGAGUCGAGCAGAGGCAUACCCAUUCCAUUCCUAGCUUGGGUGGUGGCUAGCGAGUGGGAGGCCGUCUGCCACAAGU
rnacentral:snoRNA from 1 species